UGGCUCUUGCAUCGAUGAAGAACGUAGCGAAGCGCGAAAUGUAGUGUGAAUCGCAGAACACUGUGAAUCAUCGAAUCUUUGAACGCACAUUGCGCCUCUCUUUCGAGGGGCAUGCCUGUCUGAGCGUCAUUUAAACCAAUGGACUAGAUCCGUGUUGGGCCUCGCCCCCGUCGGCGUCGCCUCAAGGCCAUCGGUCUAAGAGCGGACGAGUUCCUUUAGGACAGACCGUUCGAUGACCCGAGUAUAUUUCUGAAUUGACCUCAGAUCAGGUAGGAAUACCGCCUGA
rnacentral:misc_RNA from 1 species